CCCUUAGAUGUUCUGGGCCGCACACGCGCUACACUGAAGGAGGCAGCGUGUACUCCUGGAUCGAAAGAUUUGGGUAACCCGCGAAUCUCCUUCGUGCUAGGGAUUGAGGUUUGCAAUUAUCCUUCAUGAACGAGGAAUUCCCAGUAAGUGCAAGUCAUAAGCUUGCGCUGACUACGUACCUGCCCUUUGUACACACCGCCCGUCGCUACUACCGAUUGAAUGAUUUAGUGAGGACUUCGGACUGGGACCGAUGCGGCUUUCGGGCUGCGUCGGUAUUCUGGAAAGAUGUCCAAACUGUAUCAUUUAGAGGAAGUAAAANUCGUANCA
rnacentral:rRNA from 1 species